rnacentral:rRNA from 1 species
GCAUGAUCUAGCUUGCUAGAUUGAUGGCGAGUGGCGAACGGGUGAGUAAUACAUCGGAACGUGCCCUGUAGUGAGGGAUAACUAGUCGAAAGAUUAGCUAAUACCGCAUACGACCUGAGGGUGAAAGUGGGGGACCGCAAGGCCUCAUGCUAUAGGAGCGGCCGAUGUCUGAUUAGCUAGUUGGUGAGGUAAAGGCUCACCAAGGCGACGAUCAGUAGCUGGUCUGAGAGGACGAUCAGCCACACUGGGACUGAGACACGGCCCAGACUCCUACGGGAGGCAGCAGUGGGGAAUUUUGGACAGUGGGGGCAACCCUAAUCCAGCAAUGCCGCGUGUGUGAAGAAGGCCUUCGGGUUGUAAAGCACUUUUGUCCGGAAAGAAAUCGCACUUACUAAUAUUAGGUGUGGAUGACGGUACCUGAAGAAUAAGGACCGGCUAACUACGUGCCAGCAGCCGCG